CGCGGACGAAGAAGUCGUGGGCCUCGACCCACUCGGUGGACCCUGCUGGGAAGCUGGGGGAGUCGUCAGUGUGGACGGAAUGGGGACUGCCGGAGAGGAUGACAACGCUGGGGUUGAGGUCGGUGAUGGCCUUGAGGGGGCUGGUGCAGGAGAUGGUGAGGGAGAAGACGGAGAGGGAUCGGAUGCGGCGAGUGAUGAGGUGGGUGUAUGGGAGCCGUAGUCGAGGAUGAAGACCAAGUCCGAUUUCACGGCUUUUGGGUCCAUGGAAGAGAUGGCCAUGGCUAC
rnacentral:lncRNA from 1 species